AAAAAGAUAAGCUAAUUAAGCUACCAGGUUCAUACCCUGUUUAUAGAAGUAAAACCUUCUUCUUUUUA
rnacentral:tRNA from 1 species